GGUCUGGUGGUCUAGGGGUAUGAUUCUCGCUUAGGGAGUUUGAUUCAUCCGUCAGCUCGUUGUUCCUGAGCCUUGUUUGCGAGAGGUCCCGCGUUCGAAUCGCGGCCAGACCC